rnacentral:rRNA from 1 species
UACAGAGGGGGCGAGCGUUAAUCGGAAUUACUGGGCGUAAAGCGUGCGUAGACGGUCGUGUAAGUCGGGUGUGAAAGCCCCAGGCUCAACCUGGGAAUUGCAUUCGAUACUGCUCGGCUAGGGUGCGGAAGAGGGAAGCGGAAUUUCCGGUGUAGCGGUGAAAUGCGUAGAUAUCGGAAGGAACACCAGUGGCGAAAGCGGCUUCCUGGUCCGACACCGACGCUCAGGCGCGAAAGCGUGGGGAGCAAACAGG